GCAGUGGGAGCCUACUUGUUAGGUGACUGCGUACCUUUUGUAUAAUGGGUCAGCGACUUAUAUUCAGUGGCAAGCUUAACCGUAUAGGGUAGGCGUAGCGAAAGCGAGUCUUAAUAGGGCGUUUAGUCGCUGGGUAUAGACCCGAAACCGGGCGAUCUAUCCAUGAGCAGGUUGAAGGUUAGGUAACACUGACUGGAGGACCGAACCCACUCCCGUUGAAAAGGUAGGGGAUGACUUGUGGAUCGGAGUGAAAGGCUAAUCAAGCUCGGAGAUAGCUGGUUCUCCUCGAAAGCUAUUUAGGUAGCGCCUCAUGUAUCACUCUGGGGGGUAGAGCACUGUUUCGGCUAGGGGGUCAUCCCGACUUACCAAACCGAUGCAAACUCCGAAUACCCAGAUGUGC
rnacentral:rRNA from 1 species